rnacentral:rRNA from 1 species
GACGAACGCUGGCGGCGUGCUUAACACAUGCAAGUCGAACGGUGAACUCCGCUUGCGGGGGGAUCAGUGGCGAACGGGUGAGUAACACGUGGGCAACCUGCCCUCAGCUCUGGGAUAACUCCAAGAAAUUGGGGCUAAUACCGGAUAUGACCGCUGACCGCAUGGUCUGGUGGUGGAAAGAUUUAUCGGCUGGGGAUGGGCCCGCGGCCUAUCAGCUUGUUGGUGGGGUAGUGGCCUACCAAGGCGACGACGGGUAGCCGGCCUGAGAGGGUGACCGGCCACACUGGGACUGAGACACGGCCCAGACUCCUACGGGAGGCAGCAGUGGGGAAUAUCGCGCAAUGGGCGAAAGCCUGACGCAGCGACGCCGCGUGGGGGAUGACGGCCUUCGGGUUGUAAACCUCUUUCAGCAGGGACGAAGCGAAAGUGACGGUACCUGCAGAAGAAGCACCGGCCAACUACGUG